rnacentral:rRNA from 1 species
UAUCCUGUCUGAAUAUGGGGGGACCAUCCUCCAAGGCUAAAUACUCCUGACUGACCGAUAGUGAACCAGUACCGUGAGGGAAAGGCGAAAAGAACCCCGGCGAGGGGAGUGAAAAAGAACCUGAAACCGUGUACGUACAAGCAGUGGGAGCACCCUUCGGGGUGUGACUGCGUACCUUUUGUAUAAUGGGUCAGCGACUUAUAUUCUGUAGCAAGGUUAACCGAAUAGGGGAGCCGGAGGGAAACCGAGUCUUAACCGGGCGUUAAGUUGCAGGGUAUAGACCCGAAACCCGGUGAUCUAGCCAUGGGCAGGUUGAAGGUUGGGUAACACUAACUGGAGGACCGAACCGACUAAUGUUGAAAAAUUAGCGGAUGACCUGUGGCUGGGGGUGAAAGGCCAAUCAAACCGGGAGAUAGCUGGUUCUCCCCGAAAGCUAUUUAGGUAGCGCCUCGUGAAUUCAUCUCCGGGGGUAGAGCACUGUUUCGGCUAGGGGGCCAUCCCGGCUUACCAACCCGAUGCAAACUGCGAAUACCGGAGAAUGUUAUCACGGGAGACACACGGCGGG